UUGCGGCUGCUAAUAACAUGCAGUCGAGCGACUGGAUUAGAGCUUGCUUCUAUGACGUUACCCCCGGACGGCUGAGUAACACAUGGGCAACCUGCCUGUAAGACUGGGAUAGCUCCAGGAAACCGGCACUAAUACCGCAUAACAUUUUCUCUUGCAUAAUAUAAAAUUGAAAGAUGGUUUCUGCUAUCACUUACUUAUGGGCCCCCUGUGCAUUAGCUAGUUGGUGAGGUAACGGCUCACCAAGGCAACGAUCAUAGCCCACCUAAGAGGGUGAUCGGCCACACUGGGACUGAACACGGGCCACAGUCCUACGGGAGGCACCCUACGGAAUCUUCCCAAUGGACGAAUUCUGACGGACAACGCCUCAUGAAUGAUGAACGCUUUCGGGACGAAAACUCUGUUGCAGGGAAUAUCUUGUCAAGAAGACUGCUUGUCCUUGACGGGCCUAACCUAAAGCCACCUUAACUAAUGCCCGCGCCCGGUUAUACGUAGUGGAAAAUUAUCCGGAAUUAUUGGGGUAAAAACGCGGGGCUGAGGUUCUUAAGUCUGAGUGAAACCCACGCUCAACAUGGAGGGGCUUGGAAACUGGGGAACUUGAAGCGAAGAAAAAAGGAAUCCAGUGAGGGUGAAUGCUAAGAUGUGAAGGACACAGUGGCGAGGCCCUUUUGGCUGGACUUAUCUGAGUGCAAAACGUGGGAGCCACAGAUAGAACCUGGUGUCACUCCUAACAUCAUGCAGAGUUAAGGUUUCGCCUUUAGGCUGCGCUACGAUUAGCAUCCCCUGUGAGACGCCGCAGAUGAACUCAAGAAUGACGUGCCCACAGCGGGGACAGUGGUUAUUAACACGCAAUACCUACCGGCUGACUCUCUGCAUCUAACUAGACGUCCCUCGGGACUACCUCGGGGACAUGUUGCGCACUCGUUCGAAAUUGGGUAAGCCCUACGAGAACCCUAAUUAAUGCCGAUUAUUGGCACCAAGUACGCCUUACAACUGAGAAGAGGUGAGUAAUGGUUGCCCUAUACUGGCCAAAGCGAAUGAGGACAAGGUAGAACGAGGUAGCAUCAGAACCUUCAUAAAUUUGUGACUCCGUGAACUCACUGAACCGAACUAUUCCGUAAUUCCGGCUUAACCCCCUUACCAACUUGACCCAUUUGGCCCUUUGCCCUAUAACCAUGGA
rnacentral:rRNA from 2 species